UACGUAGGGUGCAAGCGUCAUCGGAAUUACUGGGCGUAAAGCGUGCGCAGGCGGUUAUGUAAGACAGGUGGGAAAUCCCCGGGCUUAACCUGGGAACUGCAUUUGUGACUGCAUAGCUAGAGUACGGUAGAGGGGGAUGGAAUUCCGCGUGUAGCAGUGAAAUGCGUAGAUAUGCGGAGGAACACCGAUGGCGAAGGCAAUCCCCUGGACCUGUACUGACGCUCAUGCACGAAAGCGUGGGGAGCAAACAGG
rnacentral:rRNA from 1 species